rnacentral:lncRNA from 1 species
AUCGGGCCUGUAAAGAUUUUGCUUUGUUGAGACAAGUUCAUCAAUCAAAGUGCGAUGGCAACAAUUGCAACUUUCCAUGUAGGCAUUUUUAAGGGCAAGGAGUCGAUUGGUGAUGGUGGUGACUUGAUCCUUCCUAGUUUGGCUAGAGAGAGAACAACAAUCGUGCGACACUCUCUCUCUCUUCAACAACUCAUUAUUUGGCAAUACAUAGGUACAACUUCUGUUAACAGUGGGUUUAAGAGGUUAGGAACAAUGUUUAGUGGUAAUUUGAGUGAAAGACAGUAACAAAGGU